UUCCAUAGCCAAAAUCCUUCUCAAGUGUCAAUUUUGUUCGGAUUUUAAGGUGAAAUUGGAGGAAUCAACUCCAAAAGUCUUUUACGAGGAUUAGAAACCCGGUCGAGAUGCAGUUUAGUGUCGACUCCUGUAACCGAUGAGCU